UUGGCUCUCCCAUCGAUGAAGAACGCAGCGAAAUGCGAUAAGUAAUGUGAAUUGCAGAAUUCAGUGAAUCAUCGAAUCUUUGAACGCACCUUGCGCCCUCUGGGAUUCCGGAGGGCAUGCCUGUUUGAGUGUCAUUAUAUUCUCAACUUCAAUAGUUUCUUUAUUGUUGAAGUAUGGAUGUGGAGGCCUUUGCUGGCAUCACUUAGAUGUUCAGCUCCUCUU
rnacentral:rRNA from 1 species